GAAUCGCCACUUUCGCAUAAUUUUAGAGAAGAGAGAGAUCAGCAGGGGAGAGCGAACGGGAAAGAGGGAGAGAGAGAGGCAAUGGAGAAGGUGAGAGACCUGGUAUGGCCUCGGACCAGCCACCUUAAACCGGGAUAACGAUGACAGUGAUUGUGUCACUUGGUCAGAGAACGAAGAUCGAGAACGGUAGUCUAAAACCCUAGGCAACGAUGGCGUUCCGGUGAUGAGAUUGCAGGUGUAUUCUUCAUACGAUUAGGUCAUAUGGUUCAGAUGACUGCAGCGAGUGGCGGCUAGGGUUUUGCUCUAUUUUAGUUGUUCAUCCUUUCCUUGCUUCUGUCGAGUAUUCUGAGCGACCUUUCAAUUUCAUUUUAAAUAAUCAGGGUUUGUCCAACGUGUGUGCUCAUUUUGAUGAACAUUAAUGUAGAUUUGGAGUAGCUUUAAACGUUGCUUGAAUUAGCCAUUCUAAGAAACCGGAAGAGUAAAGAGAGAGCGCGUGCAUGGAGGAAUAAGAUCUGGUGGCGGCUGAUGACGACGGUGUCUAUCGAUCGUCAUCAGUCAUCAUUGAUGUCACGAUUCAAGAUUAGACGGCGGCUCCGGUGCUUGACCAGUGGACGCAUACUCAGGUAAUAAAAAUCCCUAUUGAAUUGUUUUUACAAAUUGAUGCUUGCAAGCGUUGUGUAUGAGUUCAGUUUUCCCAAAAAAACACCUUAAUCUGAAAAAACCUCAUUUCAGACCAGACACCAAACCUAAAAUUGAGGUCGUCAGUUUGAUGCUUUGUUGUUAUUGUCGUUGUGAUGGUCAGAACUCUGCAUCGAGAUCACCUCACGGCCUCCACUACCAUAGGUGUUCAUAUUUCCAACCAACACAGUAUGUUUUUUGUUCACCUCGCGACUUUGCUUGCAAGGAAGUGCAGAUCUCUUGAAUGAUUAUUAUGAUUACAAUACUCUUAAAAAAAUGACCCAAAUGUAUUUUUAUCAAAACCCAUUGUGCUUAGUUUGAAAAUAAACAAAAGAGAUCAAGGAAGUGUAGAUUUCUUAAAUAAUGAUUAUUACUGUUGAAUGAGAUUUUGUAUUUGAUGAGGAUUGGUGUUCAAAAGGCAUACUCACUUUGACAUAUUGUUAAACAAAAGGUUUGAGAAAGGAGUAUGGUUUAUUUUUAAUGAAUUUUAUUCAAUCACUAGGCAUACAAUUGAGUUCUUGACAAAGGAUAUGAUUUUUUUCAAAAAUCAUCAGCCUAAUAUGUGAAUGAAGGGAAUCUCAUGAUUCACAGCCUAGAAAAACCGAAUGCCGAAACCCCCUUUGUUGGGCCCAAAGGCGGGCCAUGGCGUGCUCUUUGUCAAUAGAUCGAUUGCAGGCAUCGUAGCUUUACCUCUUUCUCCCUACAAUUGAAGUUCUUUCAUGUUUUUUCUUAUUGGAUUUUUAUAUAUAAUAUUGCAAUGCGAUCUUUGUAGCUACAUGGAAUGUGGCUAGAAAUCACAAGCAGUUUCCUUAAAUCUUUAAGAUUGGUUACAUAUUCACCUCCUACUGACAUCUAUGUUACUGAUAUCUUUUUUAUUAAAUAAGGUUUUAAGAAAUUAUCCGGCUAGAUGCUCGAGAUGUGUUGGGUACAGAAAACACAACCCUUGAUAGCAACCAGUUGAAAUGAAUUCAAAGGUUCAGCUAUCAGUUUUCUUUUAGUUUUUUUGUUACUUUUCACCAGGAGAAGUAAUGAACAUAAAAAGAGAAUGAGUUAUACAGUAAUGAACAGAGGUUCGGGUUCCUCCUUGACGUUAUCGGUUUCGUUUUUUAGUGAUUUAAAGGUCAGGAAGAUUAUAGCAGUUUAAGACCACUAAGCUGCAGAGGUGCAGAAUAUUUGUGUUAGCUUUCUGUUUAAUCAGUAGGGCAAGCUAUGAAAAUGUUUUAAAAAAGGUACACUUUAUUUAUUUAGUGCUUUCUCCUUUUUUUAAAAUUUUCAAAAUAUUUGUUAGUCACUCUAAAGAUUCAAAGUUGGCUUUUUUUGAAUAUGAACAAAGUUGAUUCUUGUAACUUGAACAGGAAAAAAAACCAUGAUCAAGUUGAAAUCUAUUGUAUAUUUCCCCAAAGUAACAUUUGUUUGACUUUAAGAGUCAAAGGGACUGGCUUUUAACUUCCAAAUCGAUACGCUGCUGUUAACUACAUAUGUUCUUAUGUUAUAUCAUCUUGAAAAAAAAAAAAGAAAUCCAUAAUCAUGUUCAAAUUUGCUUACUGUAGUUUAGAGUUUGUUUGACUCUUUAAAGUCAAACAUGCUCAUUUGUGAUUUUAAAUGGGUAUAAGAUAUGAUAUAGCUCUUGAUGGAGAUUACAUGAAGGUUUGCUUUUUAACUUUUUUUUUUAUUUUGUAUGAUUUUGCUGGUAACUAGACAUCUAAUAGCCAUUUUUUUUGUUUGAUCAUGGCAAAUGUGUGAUUAAUAUUCUGGUUCAGUACGUUCCAAUCAAUUUCGUAAGGGCAAACCGAUUAAGCACUGGAGGGAUGAUUCUUAGAUAUGGUCAAAGUGAAACGUCGUGGAUGGCUGAAUUAAGGAUUCGUGCGAAUAGUUACAUAAUAGGAGGAUGGCAUGAUUUUUAUAUUGAAAAUGGGCUAAAAGAAGGAGACCAGUUUAAGCUUGAACUCAUUCAAUCUGGGACCAAACCUUUUGCAAUAUUUUAUAGUAUAUCUUAUCAGUUAUCAUCAUAAAACUUUUUAUGUUCUAUGGUCUUUGUUGAGAAAUAUACCGUAUUAAUCAAAUUUUGUGUAUUGUAUGCAUUAGAUCUUGGCACCAAUGAGUCUGGAAAGGUGAAAACUCCCAACUUUGUUCGCACUUUGCGGGGAUCUUCUAACUCACAAGUUCGCUUGGUAAUAUUUUUAUGAUAUCAUUUUGUUGUUGAUCUUCUUGUGGAAAUUACCGCUAUUUUUUAUGUAGUAUAUUCCGAAGGAAUUAGCUUUUACAAAAUGGAUUAACUAAUGGAGAAUUGAUCCUAAAAGAUGUGAAAAAUGAACGCGCGUGGACUGUUAACAUAAGGUGUUGAAGAAGAAAAGUGAUUGAAUUAGGUUAAGAUUUUAGCCUCUGUUUGCCCAGAUGUUUUUUUUUUCUUUUUGUGUAUAUGGAUUUAGGCCAUUUGGGCUUGUUAGCUGGAAAAACAAAUAGGGUAAAUGAAUAUGUCAUUUACUCGAAAUAUUAAAUGUAAAUUUAAGAAAUGUGUAUAGUUAUGUAAUAAAUAAAACAUAUACACUGUUAGGCUAUA